GGCAAACGGGUGAGUAACACGUAAGUAACCUGCCCCUAAGUAAGGAAUAACCCCGAGAAAUCGGAGCUAAUACUGUAUGUGCUGGUGAAGGUAAUGCUUUAUCAGUAAAGCCUUAGGGCGCUUGGGGAGGGGCUUGCAUCCGAUUAGCUAGUUGGUGGGGUAAAGGUUCACCAAGGCUAUGAUCGGUAGCUGGUUUGAGAGGAUGAUCAGCCACACUGGGACUGAGACACGGCCCAG
rnacentral:rRNA from 1 species